rnacentral:rRNA from 1 species
UUAUCGCGAAAGAAACCUACCAGGGCUUGACAUGGGGAGGCUGCAGUCAGAGAUGGCUGUUUCUCGCAAGGGACCUCCUGCACAGGUGCUGCAUGGCUGUCGUCAGCUCGUGUCGUGAGAUGUUGGGUUAAGUCCCGCAACGAGCGCAACCCUCGCCUUUAGUUGCCAGCAUGAUUGGGUGGGCACUCUAAAGGAACUGCCGGUGACAAGCCGGAGGAAGGUGGGGAUGACGUCAAGUCCUCAUGGCCCUUAUGUCCUGGGCUACACACGUGCUACAAUGGCGGUGACAGUGGGAAGCCAGGCAGCGAUGCCGAGCUGAUCUCAAAAAGCCGUCUCAGUUCGGAUUGCACUCUGCAACUCGAGUGCAUGAAGGUGGAAUCGCUAGUAAUCGCGGAUCAGCAUGUACGCGGGAAACGACGU